rnacentral:rRNA from 1 species
CCUACGGGAGGCUGCAGUGAGGAAUAUUGGUCAAUGGACGAGAGUCUGAACCAGCCAAGUAGCGUGAAGGAUGACGGCCCUAUGGGUUGUAAACUUCUUUUAUAUGGGAAUAAAAAAGGGUGUGCAUACCCUCUUGUAUGUACCAUAUGAAUAAGGCACGGCUAACUCCGUGCCAUCAGCCGCGGUAAUACGGAGGAUCCGAGCGUUAUCCGGAUUUAUUGGGUGUAAAGGGAGCGUAGGUGGGUUGUUAAGUCAGUUGUGAAAGUUUGGGGCUCAACCGUAAAAUUGCAAUUGAUACUGGCUGUCUUGAGUACAGUUGAGGUAGGCGGAAUUCGUGGUGUAGCGGUGAAAUGCUUAGAUAUCACGAAGAACUCCGAUUGCGAAGGCAGCUUACUAAACUGCCACUGACAUUGAGGCUCGAAAGUGUGGGUAGCAAACAGGAUUAGAUACCCCGGUAGUC